CUCGCUUCGAGGUCUCUCCUUCUUUGUAGAUGGUAGACUCUAGCAUGCUGGACCUCUGCAGAAGACACUCUUUGCCCUUACAUAUUAUGUGAGCCGGGGCAUCAUCCUUCGGACCUAUGCUAACUCCGGGUCGGAUGCUAUAUUCUGACCUGGAACGAUUGGUUUUGCUGCUGCUGCUGCCACUGCCACCGCCACCGCCACCGCCACUGACUCCUGGGGACUCAGGAGGGUGCUGACUCCGGAGGUAACCUGGUAGGCCUCGCCUGUUCACUUUGAGAUGCAGAACAAAGCCCUUUACAGAAAAAGAUUUGGAUUUUCUGUGCUAAGCCAUGGAAGUAGUUUUCUAGACAAAAGGUGACUUCAGAACCUUCCAUAUCGACAUUUACAGCCACGGGACUGGACUGGCCAACAGUGUGAGCAUUUGUGAGCAUGCUUGAACGCUUCUUCGCAACAGGAGUGCAGCCUCGUUUAUUAUGGGUCAGAGGAAGGGAACAAUAGGGCGCUAAGAGGAUGUCUCGUCUGCCCCGCUGCCUGGGGUAAGCCCAAAAUAACCCGCUGAAUUGGAACUCUGGCCUCUUUUCUCUGGCCCCUAGGGAAGCCUUUCACAACCAUCCUCUAUUAUCCGACCCAUUUUUAACAAAGUUUAGUAUCAUAUCAGAAAGCAUCCCAUGUGUCAAAACUCUAUCCCCACUGCUGCUGACUAACCGUUUAUUCUCAUGUGCAUACCGAGCAAACGUGGAGGAGAGUCCCUACCACCGCCACUGCCACUGCCGCCGCCGCCACCGCCGCCACCACCACAGUUCACCUGAACAUUUAAUCUGAACUCCAGCCAGUGCCUGGGUCAGUCGAUGGAACCUGAUGUCUGCCCUACCUCCACCAGCCUCUCCUGCCUGUUAACACAAAUAAAGGUUUAUU
rnacentral:lncRNA from 1 species